UUUUUAAAUAGUUAAACAUAUGUUGACAUGAGCUAGAAUAUUUUUCUUUUCAAAUUGUAUUAUAACACAUAUAAAGUCCAGUAAAACAAGUACAAUUUUAUUUAAGAAAUAAAAAUAUAAAGGGGACUUGGUAAACAACUAUAAGAAAUUAUGUAAGGAGAAACAGUAAUAUUAAACUGCUCACAAGUUAGAGCAACAAGCACAGGGUUAGAACAUAUCAAUAGUAAUUGUUUUUUGAAUAAUGAGAAUUAAAAGAAUAAACAUCAGGAAUAGCAGAAGUAAUAGGUGUCUUAAUUAUUACAAAUAAUUAAAUGCUGAAAUUUAUUUUUAUCUCCAAUAAUGUCUUUACAUGUUUGCCAUAAUCUCUCCUUUAUGCAAUAUAAUUGUUACAUUUAAAGGCCAGCAAUUGUCAGAAAUCCAGUCAAAUUAAGGCCAACAUAUAUUUAUAAACCAUUAAUAUGUCAAACAAAGUGUUUUAGGAGAGGUAAAAUUGCCAAAGUAGACAACCUGAAAGAGAAGACAUCUGUUUCCAUGAAUAAACAUUGUCCUAGACAUUGUCUUAGAAGAGAGAAUUAAAAUGACAGACUUGGUUAUUGCUGUGAAACUUAUAAUUUAUAAACAAAAUUCACAAAUUAAAUAACAAUAAUAUAAGAUAUGCUUCCCUAAUUGUAAAAUAGAUCUUUAAAAUACUUUGAUACUGCCUCUCAUUCCCACAUUUCCUCUUUCAAAUAUUCACAAUCCCCUACUCAGCCUACUUGAAUCAGCUAAUUUUAACUUCCGUCUCUCAAAUGGAUUUCACUUAAGCAGGAGAAUAUUCAUUAAUUUUUACACAGCACUCAGGAGGUAAUAGUGAGCAGUACUACUAGAAUUGUUACUUAGGGUUUCACUUUUAAUAUUUGGGUUUUUACCUUUUCCAGUUUCCCAAAUUUUAUUCUCACAUCUAGCAAAUAGAAUUUCCUCUAUUACAGUCUCCAAUUUUUUUUUUUUUUUUGCCUAUUCAGUUAUUUUGUUAUUCAGUAAUUCAGUUAUUUUGGAAAUUGCAACUUGUCCUAACAUAUUUCCCUAACUGAGUACCAGUCUAUGACCCAUAAACCUGUGAUCCAUACACCCUGCUAAGAGUAAAUAAACAUUCCUGAUGGCACUCUAUGUUCUAUUAGAAUUUCUUAAUGCUGUGUCUUGACUUCUGAACUCUAUGAUACUAGCUUUAUAGACACUCUCAAUUUCAUUCAGUUACAUAUCCUAAGACUGCCUGCUGAACUACGAAUCCCUGCAAUCUCUUCUUAUAUGGUGAAUAUCCUAUAUGUCCUACAGAUCUUUCUAAUAUUCAUUGACUUGUGCCCAUCUUUAAUGGCUGUAUCUAUUUUCAGUUCUUGUUUCUCUAUAAGACAUUCCCAUCCCUACCCUUAAAAUGCCUUAUCUGUGUGGACUAAGAUGUAUCAAAGCCAAAUUACAGAACAAAUAAUGAUUAUUAUAUCCCAAGCCUCACUAGGCUAUGGGUGUUGUUUCUGUAAGAUGUUUUCCUAGAUUAAAGACCUUCCAAGGAAGAGAAUCAUUUUAAUCUCUCCAAGUGUCUUCAGAAUAGGCAGCCAAAACACUUAGCUGGGUUGUCAACCUGGUCACAUUAUGGGUAAAAUUAUAGAAAGAAAAAACAAAUAUCCUGGAGAAUUGCUUGCAACUGUAGAAGACAAAAUAAUUAAACUCACCAAAUGGAAUUAAGGUUGCUAAUCAGAUAAUCAUAAAAUAAGGAGAGUAUCCUGGAUUAUCCAAGUUGAUAUAAUGUAAUCACAAUGACCCUUUAAAUGUGAAAGGAGUCAAAGGGUCAGAGUCAGAAUGAUGUGACAUGAGAAAGAUUCUCAACUGUCCAUUGAUAGCUUUCAAAAUGGAGGAAGUGGCCAUGCUCCAAGAAAUGCAGGCAGCCGCUAACAGCUGGAAAACUCAAGAAAAUGCAUUCCCCCUUAGAAGCUCCAGAAGAAAUAUAGUCCUGAAAACACCUUGAUCUUAGCCCGGUGACAUCUAUGUCAGAAUCCUGAUCUCUAGACCAACCAAAAAAAGGCCAGCACCAGAUGGAUUCACAGCCGAAUUCUACCAGCGGUACAAAGAGGAGCUGGUACCAUGAAGGAAUCCUCCAUAACUCAUUUUAUGAGGCCAGCAUCAUCCUGAUACUAAAACCUG
rnacentral:lncRNA from 1 species